rnacentral:rRNA from 1 species
GUGUCAGCCGCCGCGGUAAUACGUAGGGGGCAAGCGUUGUCCGGAUUUAUUGGGCGUAAAGGGCUCGUAGGCGGUCUGUCACGUCGGGAGUGAAAACUCAGGGCUUAACCCUGAGCCUGCUUCCGAUACGGGCAGACUAGAGGUAUGCAGGGGAGAACGGAAUUCCUGGUGUAGCGGUGAAAUGCGCAGAUAUCAGGAGGAACACCGGUGGCGAAGGCGGUUCUCUGGGCAUUACCUGACGCUGAGGAGCGAAAGUGUGGGGAGCGAACAGGAUUAGAAACCCUAGUAGUCC